rnacentral:rRNA from 1 species
GAAUCUUCCACAAUGGACGCAAGUCUGAUGGAGCAACGCCGCGUGAGUGAAGAAGGUUUUCGGACCGUAAAGCUCUGUUGUUGGUGAAGAAGGAUAGAGGUAGUAACUGGCCUUUAUUUGACGGUAAUCAACCAGAAAGUCACGGCUAACUACGUGCCAGCAGCCGCGGUAAUACGUAGGUGGCAAGCGUUGUCCGGAUUUAUUGGGCGUAAAGCGAGCGCAGGCGGAAGAAUAAGUCUGAUGUGAAAGCCCUCGGCUUAACCGAGGAAUUGCAUCGGAAACUGUUUUUCUUGAGUGCAGAAGAGGAGAGUAGAACUCCAUGUGUAGCGGUGGAAUGCGUAGAUAUAUGGAAGAAUACCAGUGGCGAAGGCGGCUCUCUGGUCUGCAACUGACGCUGAGGCUCGAAAGCAUGGGUAGCGAACAGGAUUAGAUACCCUGGUAGUCCAUGCCGUAAAACGAUGAGUGCUAAGUGUUGGGAGGCUUCCGCCUCUCAGUGCUGCAGCUAACGCAUUAAGCACUCCGCCUGGGGGAGUACGACCGCAAGGUUGAAAC